rnacentral:ribozyme from 1 species
GGAAGAAGGCAACAUGGUCUUAUCCUUUCUAUUUUUUUUAUUUAUUUUUUUAAUUUUUUUUUUU